CAGCCGCCACGGGAAUACGAAGGGGGCUAGCGUUGUUCGGAUUUACUGGGCGUAAAGCGCACGUAGGCGGAUCCUUAAGUCAGAGGCGAAAUCCCAAGGCUCAACCUUGGAACUGCCUUUGAUACUGGGGAUCUCGAGUUCGGGAGAGGUGAGUGGAACUGCGAGUGUAGAGGUGAAAUUCGUAGAUAUUCGCAAGAACACCAGUGGCGAAGGCGGCUCACAGGCCCGAUACUGACGCUGAGGUGCGAAAGCGUGGGGAGCAAACAGGAUUAGAUACCCGCGUAGUCCCUGUCUCUUAUAC
rnacentral:rRNA from 1 species